rnacentral:lncRNA from 1 species
UCAUGUUAACUACCUCUAUGAAUACAAUCAUUCCUGAAAAAUUAAGGAGAUAGAUGCAGCAGAAGAAUCCUUUUCUUUGCCUGCCACAGACCCAGAGCCACUGUGUCACUGGUAUUCUGAUCUGCAAAUCAUGUCUAUGUACAAACAGUCUCAGUUUAGAAAGUUCAGUUAUCUUCUUGGCCCUUUUGCAUUCAAUUAUACACAUGGAUGAAUUAGUGUAACCAUAUACAAGAAAGACUAACAUAACAUGACUCUAGAUAACUAGAACAAGUUAAUUUUAGAAAAUUUUGUAAAGACCAACUAGAUCCAGCAGUUGACAGAAAAAAUCACUAAACCAUUCUACUAUGUAACACAAUAAAAUUGUGUAUCAUUUAUUAUAAUACUUAUGCCUAUUUCAUAGUGCCUACAAAGUUCGCUGCAGUUAUGCAAAACUUGGAUAAAAAAAAUCCAGAGUGGGAACACAAAAGCAGCAAUAUACAUACAUAUACAUGCAUAUAUAUAUAUUUUUUUUUUAAUUUGAAAAUAAAAACCAUAAUAAAACAUACCAGUUACUGAGAGGAUAUGGUGGCAGAAGUACACAAGUACUUUUUUUUUUUUUUUUUUUUUUCCCACAGCUUUAAUCUGCUCAUUUCCGUAAGCAAUGAAAAUGACUCGUGUUGUGCAGAAGUAUUCAGGAAUCUCUAGUACAGUUUAGGCACAAAAAAAUAUUCAAAAUAUUUGUCUCUCUUCCCAACUGUGGUAGUAAGGGUGUAAAAAUGGUAUCUGCGUACAAGGCAGAGAAGUCUUCCAUGCAGUUCAAACAAGAGUAGAUUAUAAAAGGCUGCAGUGGGUUCUAAAAUUUCAAAGUCACAGAGAAAGCCAAAGUCACUACUCGGUUGUAUGAAGGCUUCUGAUGUAAGCACAAAGGGUAUGAAAGCUACAACUUCUCCAUAAAUCUCUCAUCUAGUAACAAUGUGAGGAUAUGAAAUCACAGGGCAGAGGAUACACAGUCUUACUGACUUCUGGAAAACUUCUUCUAGAAAAUGUAAUUAACUCCAAGUGUGAAUUUACAUUUUGUUUGUUUGUUUGUUUGUUUGUUUGUUUCCUCUCUAUUUUAAUCCAGCAUGCAACACCAUUUGCAACUUGUUUGCUGACCCAGACUACCUUCACCCACAAGUUAGAAAAACAGCAAUCAUGUUUUCCAAUGGAGAAAGGGAUCUGAGGCACAGCUGAACAUCAAGGGGAAUGACUUCAUUGAACCUCUACGAAAAGUCCUUGUCUUUUCCCUGAAAGGUUAUAUUCUU